rnacentral:lncRNA from 1 species
AUAUGACUGAGGGAGGUGGGGCUGAGAGGCCAGUGCUGUGUCAUUUCCGGGGACAGUGGGAUCCCCUAGAAGGAGUGCCAGGAAUUAGAGUAGAGAAGGAGACCGCGGGCCGGCUGCCAGCCUCUUUACUUAAGGAGGGGAGAGUGAAGAGCAUUUAAACUGAGGGAAGUUGGGCAUGGUGGCUCACGCCUGUAAACCCAGCACUGCCAAGGCUGAGGCAGGAGGAUCUCCAGAGUUCAAGACUAGCCUGGGCUACAAGGUAAGCUCAAGGAUGGCCUGAAUUGCAUAGC